AUGUAACAAAAAAAAAAAAACCAAAAUAUU
rnacentral:sRNA from 1 species